CGUGAGCGCUAGCUUACGUGGAGGCAUUGGUGGGAUACUACCCUAAUUGUAUUGGAUUUCUAACCCGCAGCACUUAUCGUGCUGGGAGACAGUGUCAGGCGGGCAGUUUGACUGGGGCGGUCGCCUCCUAAAGAGUAACGGAGGCGCUCAAAGGUUCCCUCAGAAUGGUUGGAAAUCAUUCAUAGAGUGUAAAGGCAUAAGGGAGCUUGACUGCGAGACCUACAAGUCGAGCAGGGUCGAAAGACGGACUUAGUGAUCCGGUGGUUCCGCAUGGAAGGGCCAUCGCUCAACGGAUAAAAGCUACCCCGGGGAUAACAGGCUUAUCUCCCCCAAGAGUUCACAUCGACGGGGAGGUUUGGCACCUCGAUGUCGGCUCAUCGCAUCCUGGGGCUGUAGUCGGUCCCAAGGGUUGGGCUGUUCGCCCAUUAAAGCGGUACGCGAGCUGGGUUCAGAACGUCGUGAGACAGUUCGGUCCCUAUCCGUCGUGGGCGUAGGAAAUUUGAGAGGAGCUGUCCUUAGUACGAGAGGACCGGGAUGGACAUACCUCUGGUGUACCAGUUGUCGUGCCAACGGCAUAGCUGGGUAGCUAUGUAUGGACGGGAUAAGUGCUGAAAGCAUCUAAGCAUGAAGCCCCCCUCGAGAUGAGAUUUCCCAACUUCGGUUAUAAGAUCCCUCAAAGAUGAUGAGGUGAAU
rnacentral:rRNA from 1 species